CUGUCCUUAGUACGAGAGGACCGGGAUGGACACACCGCUGGUGUACCAGUUGUUCCGCCAGGAGCACAGCUGGGUAGCUACGUGUGGCAAGGAUAAGUGCUGAAAGCAUCUAAGCAUGAAGCCCCCCUCAAGAUGAAACUUCCCAUCACGUUAAGUGAGUAAGAUCCCUCAGAGACGAUGAGGUUGAUAGGUCCGAGGUGGAAGCGUGGCGACACGUGGAGCUGACGGAUACUAAUCGAUCGAGGACUUAACUAA
rnacentral:rRNA from 1 species